rnacentral:rRNA from 1 species
AGCGGCGGACGGGUGAGUAAUGCCUAGGAAUCUGCCUGGUAGUGGGGGAUAACGUUUCGAAAGGAACGCUAAUACCGCAUACGUCCUACGGGAGAAAGUGGGGGAUCUUCGGACCUCACGCUAUCAGAUGAGCCUAGGUCGGAUUAGCUAGUUGGUGGGGUAAUGGCCCACCAAGGCGACGAUCCGUAACUGGUCUGAGAGGAUGAUCAGUCACACUGGAACUGAGACACGGUCCAGACUCCUACGGGAGGCAGCAGUGGGGAAUAUUGGACAAUGGGCGAAAGCCUGAUCCAGCCAUGCCGCGUGUGUGAAGAAGGUCUUCGGAUUGUAAAGCACUUUAAGUUGGGAGGAAGGGCAGUAAGUUAAUACCUUGCUGUUUUGACGUUACCAACAGAUGAAGCACCGGCUAACUUCGUGCCAGCAGCCGCGGUAAUACGAAGGGUGCAAGCGUUAAUCGGAAUUACUGGGCGUAAAGCGCGCGUAGGUGGUUCAGCAAGUUGGAUGUGAAAGCCCCGGGCUCAACCUGGGAAUUGCAUCCAAAACUACUGAGCUAGAGUACGGUAGAGGGUGGUGGA